AGACGAGUGGCGAACUGGUGAGUAACACGUGGGUAACCUGCCCUUGAAGUAGGGGAUAACACUUGGAAACAGGUGCUAAUACCGUAUAACAACCAAAACCACCUGGUUUUGGUUUAAAAGAUGGCUUCGGCUAUCACUUUAGGAUGGACCCGCGGCGUAUUAGCUUGUUGGUAAGGUAACGGCCUACCAAGGCAAUGAUACGUAGCCGACCUGAGAGGGUAAUCGGCCACAUUGGGACUGAGACACGGCCCAAACUCCUACGGGAGGCAGCAGUAGGGAAUCUUCCACAAUGGACGCAAGUCUGAUGGAGCAACGCCGCGUGAGUGAAGAAGGCUUUCGGGUCGUAAAACUCUGUUGUUGGAGAAGAAUGGUCGGCAGAGUAACUGUUGUCGGCGUGACGGUAUCCAACCAGAAAGCCACGGCUAACUACGUGCCAGCAGCCGCGGUAAUACGUAGGUGGCAAGCGUUAUCCGGAUUUAUUGGGCGUAAAGCGAGCGCAGGCGGUUUUUUAAGUCUGAUGUGAAAGCCCUCGGCUUAACCGAGGAAGCGCAUCGGAAACUGGGAAACUUGAGUGCAGAAGAGGACAGUGGAACUCCAUGUGUAGCGGUGAAAUGCGUAGAUAUAUGGAAGAACACCAGUGGCGAAGGCGGCUGUCUGGUCUGUAACUGACGCUGAGGCUCGAAAGCAUGGGUAGCGAACAGGAUUAGAUACCCUGGUAGUCCAUGCCGUAAACGAUGAAUGCUAGGUGUU
rnacentral:rRNA from 1 species